GGAAGUAAAAGUCGUAACAAGGUUUCCCUAGGUGAACCCGCGGAAACAUCAUUAUUGCAGCCCGUCGAGUAGCGAGACCCAUGAACCGGUGACCCUAACGAGACGCGCGGCUUGGGGAGCGCGGCGCCGCCCUCUCUCUCAGGGGAUCACGCGGCGAACCAACCCCGGCGCGAUGGGUGCCAAGGAAUUGAGAUGGAAUGAGCGCGGCUCCCUCUAGGGAUGCCGGCGUGCUUUCGAAGCUUACAAGGCUCUCGACAAUGGAUAUCUCAGCUCUCGCAUCGAUGAAGAACGUUGCGAAAUGCGAUACUUGGUGUGAAUUACAGAGUCCCGUGAACCAUCGAGCCUUUGAAAGUAAGUUGUGCUCGAGGCCACUCGGCCCAGGGCAUGCCUGCCUAGGCAUCAAGCACCGUGCUGCCCCACUCGAUGUUCGCCCCAUCCGGCGGCGGCACCGCUAAGUGGAGAUUAGCCACCCAUCCGCCCCGCGCGCCCGGCAGGCUGAAAAGCAUUCGCUCCCCCGCAGAGGCGCGGACUUAGCGGUAGGUGGUUUGAGAGGCGGCAGCCUCGUCGGAGCUCGGAUGUCGAGCCCAUCACCCCGUGCCUGGGGACAAGCAGAGCGAAGUGGCACCUAGCUCGGCUACCCCGCGCAGCCCUCACGUAGCGACCCAAGGUCAGGCGGGGACACCCGCUGAGUUUAAGCAUAUCAAUAAGCGGAGGA
rnacentral:rRNA from 1 species